rnacentral:lncRNA from 1 species
UAAUUUUGUUCAAGCAUAUUUAAUAAUUUUAUCGCGGAAAGGCGUCCUCCCGCCUCCCAGCCGCGCACCUGGCGGUUGUGCGGGGACCCCGCCUCGGUAACGGCGCCUCCGCUCUACCCGAGCACCUCGCGGAGAGCCGAGGCUUCGGUGCGUGCCGCGUCUGCUCCGCUACCGCAGCUCCUCCCCUGGGAAGAAGAAUCUGUAAAGGGCUGUUGGAACUGAUAUACUCUAAUUAUGGGAUUUCAAAGAAAAGGUACCAUAAAUAUGUUUCUAACAUGAUUACAUAGUAUUAAAAUGGCUAGAAAAUAAUUUAUAUUCUUAUUUUUUUGUUUUAAAAAUCAAUCUUCAAUGAAAAAAGAGGUAUCAUGUUAUAUUAAGGAAUGGAGGGCUAUUUGUGUGUGUGUGUGUAUGUGUAUGUGUGUAUGCAUUUCUGAGUUGUGGCUGUUUCAAAAAGAAAUACAGAAAGAAAAAUAGUUCAGGUAAG